UACGGGGGGAGCAAGCGUUGUUCGGAUUCAUUGGGCGUAAAGGGCGUGUAGGUGGCGCGCUAAGUCGGGUGUGAAAUUUCGGAGCUUAACUCCGAAACUGCAUUCGAUACUGGCGUGCUUGAGGACUGGAGAGGAGACUGGAAUUCAUGGUGUAGCAGUGAAAUGCGUAGAGAUCAUGAGGAAGACCAGUGGCGAAGGCGGGUCUCUGGACAGUUCCUGACACUGAGACACGAAGGCCAGGGGAGCAAACGGG
rnacentral:rRNA from 1 species